AAGGGAAAAAAUAAUGAAAGGAAAAAGAAAGAAAAACAGUGUUGUUGUUGUGGGUUGUUUUCAGUUUUUUUCGCGCGGUUUCUUAUUU
rnacentral:ribozyme from 1 species